rnacentral:lncRNA from 1 species
GGGUACCAAACAUCGAGAUGGCCCACAUAUAGCUAUCUCACAUAUAACAACACUUUUAAAAAGUGCCGGUAAUUUAGCCAAUAGAAAUUUUUUUGAUCUGUACCGACUUUUAAAAAUACCGCUAUACAUCGUUUUUAUUGUAGUGUUUAGAUUCAAUUUAGGUAGAACCAAUUGUAAUUCAGUACGUAUUGUCACAACCUAGGAUCCAUUUUUGAAAGCCAAUUCAAAAUUGGGCUAUCUUUAUAAAUCAGAGUAAGUGAAAAACUGCCCUUUUUUUUUGAAAAUCUUGAUCCCCAAGGGUGCAACAAACCCGCCACAAAUACAAAAAAAUUUCAAAACAAACAGACAAAGUCUUUCUUGUAUUUGCACCGCGUAAUAUAUAUACAAU